UAGGGAAUAUUGGGCAAUGGAUGCAAGUCUGACCCAGCCAUGCCGCGUGCCGGAUGAAGGCCCUCAGGGUUGUAAACGGCUUUUAUUCGGGAAGAAGAGCAGGGGUGCGCCUUUGUGUGACGGUACCGAAUGAAUAAGCACCGGCUAACUCCGUGCCAGCAGCCGCGGUAAUACGGAGGGUGCGAGCGUUGUCCGGAUUUAUUGGGUUUAAAGGGUGCGUAGGUGGCUUUAUAAGUCAGUGGUGAAAUACAGCCGCUUAACGGUUGAGGUGCCAUUGAUACUGUAGAGCUUGAAACAAUUGGAGGCUGCCGGAAUGGAUGGUGUAGCGGUGAAAUGCAUAGAUAUCAUCCAGAACACCGAUUGCGAAGGCAGGUGGCUACGUUUGAUUUGACACUGAGGCACGAAAAGCAUGGGGGAGCAAAACAGGAUUAGAUACCCUGGUAGUCCAUGCUGUAAAACGAUGAGGACUCGCUGCUGGGCUGUCACGGUCCAGCGGCUUAGGGAAACCGUUAAGUCCUCCACCUGGGGAGUACGCCGGCAACGGUGAAAACUCAAAGGAAUUGACGGGGUCAUAGCUGUUUCCUG
rnacentral:rRNA from 1 species